UAGAUGGCGACCGGCGCACGGGUGAGUAACACGUAUCCAACCUGCCGAUAACUCGGGGAUAGCCUUUCGAAAGAAAGAUUAAUACCCGAUGGUAUAAUAAAGCCGCAUGGUUUAAUUAUUAAAGAAUUUCGGUUAUCGAUGGGGAUGCGUUCCAUUAGGCAGUUGGUGAGGUGACGGCUCACCAAACCUUCGAUGGAUAGGGGUUCUGAGAGGAAGGUCCCCCACAUUGGAACUGAGACACGGUCCAA
rnacentral:rRNA from 1 species